UUUUAGAUGCUUACGGAGAAGCUAGUGCUAAGCUGAUGCUUGGUGAGACUAAGGAAAGACAAUCCUGCCGCAAACAACGCUUGACGCAAUUCGUCAGUUAGCGCUUCGGGGAAGUCAGUCGGCGAGCAGAUGAAUCUAGUCAAGAGCUUCGGACGGGGCAGAAGGUGGAGAAGGGUGAGAUCUCGACACCAAACAGGACUGCGGCAAACAUGGGCUUCCAGCUCAUCAUCACCCUAAAAAAAACC